rnacentral:rRNA from 1 species
UACAGAGGUCCCAAGCGUUGUUCGGAUUUACUGGGCGUAAAGGGUGCGUAGGUGGCGAGGUAAGUUCGAUGUGAAAUCUCCGAGCUCAACUCGGAAAUGGCAUUGAAUACUAUCCCGCUUGAGGGUCGGAGGGGAGACUGGAAUUCUCGGUGUAGCAGUGAAAUGCGUAGAUAUCGAGAGGAACACCAGUGGCGAAGGCGAGUCUCUGGACGACUCCUGACACUGAGGCACGAAAGCUGGGGGGAGCAAACAGG